GGCGGGGAGAUGACGACAGCGAUGAAGAUGAUUGGUGAUCCUCAUAGAAAUAUAUACCAUCGUAUUAUUCCCAUCAAGAAACAAAGACUAAUUUACAUGUAUGCAUGAAAGUGAAGAACAAGAGUGAAAUCUUAAUUUUAAAGAACUCCUUAGUACACAAGCACCUCUGAUGAACAAACAUGAGUCUUAUGUGUCGUAAGUGUUUUAUUUCCAACAAAUAUUCUUGUGAAGAGAAUGAAAAUUCUAAAAUUUAUCUUAAUUAACAAAGUUGUACAUAUGCUCAUAUGCUGAACAAAUUGUAACUGUUGACAACAUAUAACAAUCUUGAUGUAUAAAAACUUUAUCUGUGUAUCACACCAGUGAUUAGAUGAAAGAAAUUUUAACAGAGUUGCACAGCUACAAAGAUCUAUGGUCUCAUAAUGUGAGAAUAUUAAAACUAAUAUGUAACACUUGUUAUUGAAGGUUUGAAAGUAUGUUAUAU
rnacentral:misc_RNA from 1 species